CAGUCGCCACGGGAAAACGGAGGGUGCAAGCGUUAUCCGGAUUUAUUGGGUUUAAAGGGUCCGUAGGCGGAUCUGUAAGUCAGUGGUGAAAUCUCACAGCUUAACUGUGAAACUGCCAUUGAUACUGCAGGUCUUGAGUAAAUUUGAAGUGGCUGGAAUAAGUAGUGUAGCGGUGAAAUGCAUAGAUAUUACUUAGAACACCAAUUGCGAAGGCAGGUCACUAAGAUUUAACUGACGCUGAUGGACGAAAGCGUGGGGAGCGAACAGGAUUAGAUACCCGGGUAGUCCCUGUCUCUUAUAC
rnacentral:rRNA from 1 species